CUAGGGUCAUCUCUGAUCUAGGGUCAUCUCUGAUCUAGAGUCAUCUCUGAUCUAGGGUCAUCUCCCCCUUUCCAUGUAAUCAUAUUCAUUAUGAUUAUAAAGGAAAACUGGCCGUAGAUCAGAACUAAUUAUCAUUUAAUCGAACGUUUACAAUGCUCUGCCACUUGACAAAGACUUCUGUGAAAUCAGAACAAUACUCUGUGUGUCUGGGCCUCUCAUUCAUAUAUAUGAGCAUUAUGUUUUAGCAUCAAUAGUGGUAUUCUCUAGUAUCAUAUCGCCCUCCUUUUCUACUGCUGCAGAAAGAGCCUGGACACGCAGAGACCAGAGCGAAGGAGAGAGGGAGGUGGGAUGGGGAUACCCAUGGAGGAGAAUGAGCUGUAUGCUACCUGGAAGACAGCCCAAUACCAGGUGACAGUUAAGACCAAUGAGGCGUCGAGGAGAUGUCAGCUGACAGGAAGUUACCUCCUCUUGCCAGAAAGAGACGCCAUAUUGCUCCAGGACCUCCAGACUGGUGUUACCGUCCACUGCUGGCCCUACCACCUGCUACGACGCUUCGGACAGGUCAAGGGAUGCUUCAGCAUCGAGGCGGGCCGUCGCUGUAGCUCGGGAGAGGGUCAAUUCACCUUCAUGUCUGAGCACGCUCCUCAGAUCUACAAGGCCAUGGAAGCUGCUCUUACUCUGCACAGCGAGAUGGAGAAUGAAGACACCAAGACCUCUAUCCAGCCUCCUAGCAACUCAUCGUCUCCUCAACUUCCUCAUUCUUCCACCUCUACUCACCUUCCACAUAACUCAUCUUCUCCUCAACUUCCUCAUUCUUCCACCUCUACUCACCUUCCACAUAACUCAUCGUCUCCUCAACUUCCUCAUUCUUCCACCUCUACUCACCCUCCUAUCAAACACAGAGUCCACACCCGCACCGACCUAUCAGACAGACCCACUGCCCCUCCUCUACCAAUGAGAAACAACCUCUUACACAGCCCUCCAAUCAUAUCUCCUGUUACUGAACAGGUUCCGGGGUCUGAGCCAAUGGCUGACUCUGAUUGUGAUCUGUAUGCCACUAUAGAGGACCACCUCCUCCCCAGAAUGAAACACCCGCCAGCCCCACUCAGGAUGCAGCACAGCCUGCAUCUCUAUGAGGAGGAAGAGGAGGAAGAGGAGAGGUGUCACUCCCUGGAUACCGUCGACCUGAACAAACUGAGGCUGGGGGAGGGGUCUCCUUAUUACAACCUGAGAAGGGGUAUUACUGGGAGGGCAGAGGAGGAGGAGGAUGAGAGAAAGAAGGAGAGUAUGGUAGGUAGCUCACAGUGUAUCUAUGCUUUAGUGAACAAGCCCUCUGAGACCCAACCACUGUCUCUGGCCUGGUCCCUGCCUCAACCCCAAACCCAGUCCCGGUCUAUGCCAAACCUCUCCCGCCUGCAGGCCCAGGCCCAGCUAAAGGGGGAAGAAGAGAUGGGCUCGGGGGGCUCCAUCACCCCCAACCAGGACCCUAUCAGCUUUAAACAGAAGCUCUCUGACAUCCUGGGUAAGGAUCUGGCUAAGUUCCAGCAGCCCCUACCCCCCCUGGCCACAGUGACACCAAGAGGCAGCGAAUACUAAUGUCUACCAUUACUAAAAGACUUGUGACUGUUAUACCAGCUCUAUCAGAACUAGAAGACAUGGGGAGGUGACUGUUAUACCAGCUCUAUCAGGUCUAUCAGAACUAGAAGACAUGGGGAGGGGACUGUUAUACCAGCUCUAUCAGCUCUAUCAGAACUAGAAGACAUGGGGAGGGGACUGUUAUACCAGCUCUAUCAGAACUAGAAGACAUGGGGAGGGGACUGUUAUACCAGCUCUAUCAGCUCUAUCAGAACUAGAAGACAUGGGGAGGGGACUGUUAUACCAGCUCUAUCAGAACUAGAAGACAUGGGGAGGUGACUGUUAUACCAGCUCUAUCAGAACUAGAAGACAUGGGGAGGUGACUGUUAUACCAGCUCUAUCAGCUCUAUCAGAACUAGAAGACAUGGGGAGGGGACUGUUAAACCAGCUCUAUCAGAACUAGAAGACAUGGGGAGGGGACUGUUAUACCAGCUCUAUCAGCUCUAUCAGAACUAGAAGACAUGGGGAGGGGACUGUUAAACCAGCUCUAUCAGCUAUAUCAGAACUAGAAGACAUGGGGAGGGGACUGUUAUACCAGCUCUAUCAGCUCUAUCAGAACUAGAAGGCAUGGGGAGGGGACUGUUAAACCAGCUCUAUCAGAACUAGAAGACAUGGGGAGGGACUGUUAUACCAGCUCUAUCAGGUCUAUCAGAACUAGAAGACAUGGGGAGGUGACUCUUAUACCAGCUCUAUCAGGUCCAUCAGAACUAGAAGACAUGGGGAGGGGACUGUUAAACCAGCUCUAUCAGAACUAGAAGACAUGGGGAGGGGACUGUUAUACCAGCUCUAUCAGAACUAGAAGACAUGGGGAGGUGACUGUUAUACCAGCUCUAUCAGCUCUAUCAGAACUAGAAGACAUGGGGAGGGGACUGUUAUACCAGCUCUAUCAGAACUAGAAGACAUGGGGAGGGGACUGUUAUACCAGCUCUAUCAGAACUAGAAGACAUGGGGAGGGGACUGUUAAACCAGCUCUAUCAGAACUAGAAGACAUGGGGAGGGGACUGUUAUACCAGCUCUAUCAGCUCUAUCAGAACUAGAAGACAUGGGGAGGGGACUGUUAUACCAGCUCUAUCAGCUCUAUCAGAACUAGAAGACAUGGGGAGGGGACUGUUAUACCAGCUCUAUCAGCUCUAUCAGAACUAGAAGACAUGGGGAGGGGACUGUUAUACCAGCUCUAUCAGCUCUAUCAGAACUAGAAGACAUGGGGAGGGGACUGUUAAACCAGCUCUAUCAGCUCUAUCAGAACUAGAAGACAUGGGGAGGGGACUGUUAUACCAGCUCUAUCAGCUCUAUCAGAACUAGAAGACAUGGGGAGGGGACUGUUAUACCAGCUCUAUCAGGUCCAUCAGAACUAGAAGACAUGGGGAGGGGACUGUUAAACCAGCUCUAUCAGAACUAGAAGACAUGGGGAGGGGACUGUUAUGCCAGCUCUAUCAGGUCCAUCAGAACUAGAAGACAUGGGGAGGGGACUGUUAUACCAGCUCUAUCAGCUCUAUCAGAACUAGAAGACAUGGGGAGGGGACUGUUAUACCAGCUCUAUCAGAACUAGAAGACAUGGGGAGGGGACUGUUAUACCAGCUCUAUCAGAACUAGAAGACAUGGGGAGGUGACUGUUAUACCAGCUCUAUCAGAACUAGAAGACAUGGGGAGGGGACUGUUAUACCAGCUCUAUCAGAACUAGAAGACAUGGGGAGGGGACUGUUAUACCAGCUCUAUCAGCUCUAUCAGAACUAGAAGACAUGGGGAGGGGACUGUUAUACCAGCUCUAUCAGAACUAGAAGACAUGGGCAGGGGACUGUUAUACCAGCUCUAUCAGCUCUAUCAGAACUAGAAGACAAGGGGAGGGGACUGUUAUACCAGCUCUAUCAGGUUCAUCAGAACUAGAAGACAUGGGGAGGGGACUGUUAUACCAGCUCUAUCAGGUCCAUCAGAACUAGAAGACAUGGGGAGGGGACUGUUAAACCAGCUCUAUCAGAACUAGAAGACAUGGGGAGGGGACUGUUAUACCAGCUCUAUCAGGUCCAUCAGAACUAGAAGACAUGGGGAGGGGACUGUUAUACCAGCUCUAUCAGAACUAGAAGACAUGGGGAGGGGCCUGUUAUACCAGCUCUAUCAGAACUAGAAGACAUGGGGAGGGGACUGUUAUACCAGCUCUAUCAGAACUAGAAGACAUGGGGAGGGGACUGUUAUACCAGCUCUAUUAGGUCCAUCAGAACUAGAAGACAUGGGGAGGGGACUGUUAUACCAGCUCUUUCAGCUCUAUCAGAACUAGAAGACAUGGGGAGGGGACUGUUAAACCAGCUCUAUCAGCUCUAUCAGAACUAGAAGACAUGGGGAGGGGACUGUUAAACCAGCUCUAUCAGCUCUAUCAGAACUAGAAGACAUGGGGAGGGUACUGUUAUACCAGCUCUAUCAGCUCUAUCAGAACUAGAAGACAUGGGGAGGGGACUGUUAUACCAGCUCUAUCAGCUCUAUCAGAACUAGAAGACAUGGGGAGGGGAAUGUUAUACCAGCUCUAUCAGGUCCAUCAGAACUCGAAGACAUGGGGAGGGGACUGUUAAACCUGCUCUAUCAGAACUAGAAGACAUGGGGAGGGGACUGUUAUACCAGCUCUAUCAGAACUAGAAGACAUGGGGAGGGGACUGUUAUACCAGCUCUAUCAGGUUCAUCAGAACUAGAAGACAUGGGGAGGGGAAUGUUAUACCAGCUCUAUCAGGUCCAUCAGAACUCGAAGACAUGGGGAGGGGACUGUUAAACCUGCUCUAUCAGAACUAGAAGACAUGGGGAGGGGACUGUUAUACCAGCUCUAUCAGCACUAGAAGAAAUGGGGAGGGGCCUGUUAUACCAGCUCUAUCAGAACUAGAAGACAUGGGGAGGGGACUGUUAUACCAGAUCUAUCAGGUCCAUCAGAACUAGAAGACAUGGGGAGGGGACUGUUAUACCAGCUCUAUCAGAACUAGAAGACAUGGGGAGGGGACUGUUAUACCAGCUCUAUCAGCUCUAUCAGAACUAGAAGACAUGGGGAGGGGACUGUUAUACCAGCUCUAUCAGAACUAGAAGACAUGGGGAGGGGACUGUUAUACCAGCUCUAUCAGAACUAGAAGACAUGGGGAGGGGACUGUUAUACCAGCUCUAUCAGGUCCAUCAGAACUAGAAGACAUGGGGAGGGGACUGUUGUACCAGCUCUAUCAGCUCUAUCAGAACUAGAAGACAUGGGGAGGGGACUGUUAUACCAGCUCUAUCAGAACUAGAAGACAUGGGGAGGGGCCUGUUAUACCAGCUCUAUCAGAACUAGAAGACAUGGGGAGGGGACUGUUAUACCAGCUCUAUCAGGUCCAUCAGAACUAGAAGACAUGGGGAGGGGACUGUUAUACCAGCUCUAUCAGGUCCAUCAGAACUAGAAGACAUGGGGAGGGGACUGUUAUACCAGCUCUAUCAGAACUAGAAGACAUGGGGAGGGGACUGUUAAACCAGCUCUAUCAGCUCUAUCAGAACUAGAAGACAUGGGGAGGGGACUGUUAUACCAGCUCUAUCAGCUCUAUAAGACAUGGGGAGGGGACUGUUAUACCAGCUCUAUCAGAACUAGAAGACAUGGGGAGGGGACUGUUAUACCAGCUCUAUCAGCUCUAUCAGAACUAGAAGACAUGGGGGGGGACUGUUAUACCAGCUCUAUCAGAACUAGAAGACAUGGGGAGGGGACUGUUAAACCAGCUCUAUCAGAACUAGAAGACAUGGGGAGGGGACUGUUAUACCAGCUCUAUCAGGUCCAUCAGAACUAGAAGACAUGGGGAGGGGACUGUUAUACCAGCUCUAUCAGAACUAGAAGACAUGGGGAGGUGACUGUUAUACCAGCUCUAUCAGAACUAGAAGACAUGGGGAGGUGACUGUUAUACCAGCUCUAUCAGCUCUAUCAGAACUAGAAGACAUGGGGAGGGGACUGUUAUACCAGCUCUAUCAGAACUAGAAGACAUGGGGAGGGGACUGUUAUACCAGCUCUAUCAGAACUAGAAGACAUGGGGAGGGGACUGUUAUACCAGCUCUAUCAGAACUAGAAGACAUGGGGAGGGGACUGUUAUACCAGCUCUAUCAGAACUAGAAGACAUGGGGAGGGGACUGUUAUACCAGCUCUAUCAGCUCUAUCAGAACUAGAAGACAUGGGGAGGGGACUGUUAUACCAGCUCUAUCAGAACUAGAAGACAUGGGGAGGGGACUGUUAAACCAGCUCUAUCAGAACUAGAAGACAUGGGGAGGGGACUGUUAUACCAGCUCUAUCAGAACUAGAAGACAUGGGGAGGUGACUGUUAUACCAGCUCUAUCAGAACUAGAAGACAUGGGGAGGGGACUGUUAUACCAGCUCUAUCAGAACUAGAAGACAUGGGGAGGGGACUGUUAUACCAGCUCUAUCAGAACUAGAAGACAUGGGGAGGGGACUGUUAUACCAGCUCUAUCAGAACUAGAAGACAUGGGGAGGGGACUGUUAUACCAGCUCUAUCAGAACUAGAAGACAUGGGGAGGGGACUGUUAUACCAGGUCUAUCAGAACUAGAAGACAUGGGGAGGGGACUGUUAUACCAGCUCUAUCAGAACUAGAAGACAUGGGGAGGGGACUGUUAUACCAGCUCUAUCAGAACUAGAAGACAUGGGGAGGGGACUGUUAUACCAGGUCUAUCAGAACUAGAAGACAUGGGGAGGUGACUGUUAAACCAGCUCUAUCAGAACUAGAAGACAUGGGGAGGUGACUGUUAUACCAGCUCUAUCAGAACUAGAAGACAUGGGGAGGUGACUUUGAGUGCCUAAAGAACUGCCAGUAUUAAAAGUGCACAAUUGAAUCAAAAGUGUAUUGUGUGCAUUUGUAACUUGCAUUUAUUUCAGCAUUUAGCCUAGAAAUCCCCCCAACCUCUCUACACCCCCUGGGUCCAGUGAAGCUGAAUAUACAGUGGCUGUAAUUAUCACUACUAGGACUCUAUCCCUACCUAAUCUCAUCUACCCAGAACAAUGUCAUGUACGUUACGUAGUCUGUUCACAAGACAUGCUACGAGAGAAGGAAACCAACCAGCAUUAUUCAAAAUAUAGGAUUCCAUCAAAAGUGUUGUGUGUGUGCAUUUGUAAAUUGCAUUUUUAUUUCAACAUUUACAUAUUAUGGAUGUAUCUCUUGCAUUAAAUUAAAAUAUAAUUGAAACAACAUAUUGAGUUGACUAAAAGAAGGUGAUACAUUUAUUUCCCAUGCCAAUAAAGUGGAAUAUACAGUGGUGAAGCUGUUGAAAUUAAA